rnacentral:rRNA from 1 species
AUUGAACGCUGGCGGCGUGCCUAACACAUGCAAGUCGAGCGGCAGCGGGCCCGCAAGGGUGCCGGCGAGCGGCGGACGGGUGAGCAAUACAUAGGAAUCUGCCUCAGAGCGGGGGAUAGCCAGGGGAAACCCUGAUUAAUACCGCAUGAUGUCGAGAGACCAAAGUGGGGGACCGUAAGGCCUCACACUCUGAGAUGAGCCUAUGUCGGAUUAGCUAGUUGGCGGGGUAACGGCCCACCAAGGCGACGAUCCGUAGCUGGUCUGAGAGGACGAUCAGCCACACCGGAACUGAGACACGGUCCGGACUCCUACGGGAGGCAGCAGUGGGGAAUAUUGGACAAUGGGCGAAAGCCUGAUCCAGCGACGCCGCGUGGGUGAAGAAGGCCUUCGGGUUGUAAAGCCCUUUAAACCGGGACGAAAAAAUCGGCGAUAACAUCGCCGGUCUUGACGGUACCGGAAGAAUAAGCACCGGCUAACUCUGUGCCAGCCGCCGCGGUAACAC